AUUGAACGCUGGCGGCAUGCUUUACACAUGCAAGUCGAACGGUAGCAGGCCUUCGGGUGCUGACGAGUGGCGAACGGGUGAGUAAUGCAUCGGAACGUACCCAGAGGUGGGGGAUAACGCAGCGAAAGCUGUGCUAAUACCGCAUGUGAUCUGAGGAUGAAAGCGGGGGACCGAGCAGCAAUGUUUGGCCUCGCGCCUUUGGAGCGGCCGAUGUCGGAUUAGCUAGUUGGUGGGGUAAAGGCCUACCAAGGCGACGAUCCGUAGCUGGUCUGAGAGGACGACCAGCCACACUGGGACUGAGACACGGCCCAGACUCCUACGGGAGGCAGCAGUGGGGAAUUUUGGACAAUGGGCGCAAGCCUGAUCCAGCAAUGCCGCGUGCGGGAAGAAGGCCUUCGGGUUGUAAACCGCUUUUGGCAGGAACGAAACGGUGUCCGCUAAUACCGGGCGCUAAUGACGGUACCUGCAGAAUAAGCACCGGCUAACUACGU
rnacentral:rRNA from 1 species